rnacentral:rRNA from 1 species
GGCAGGCGGCAUGCUAUACAUGCAAGUCGAACGAGCUUCCGUUGAAUGACGUGCUUGCACUGAUUUCAACAAUGAAGCGAGUGGCGAACUGGUGAGUAACACGUGGGGAAUCUGCCCAGAAGCAGGGGAUAACACUUGGAAACAGGUGCUAAUACCGUAUAACAACAAAAUCCGCAUGGAUUUUGUUUGAAAGGUGGCUUCGGCUAUCACUUCUGGAUGAUCCCGCGGCGUAUUAGUUAGUUGGUGAGGUAAAGGCCCACCAAGACGAUGAUACGUAGCCGACCUGAGAGGGUAAUCGGCCACAUUGGGACUGAGACACGGCCCAAACUCCUACGGGAGGCAGCAGUAGGGAAUCUUCCACAAUGGACGAAAGUCUGAUGGAGCAAUGCCGCGUGAGUGAAGAAGGGUUUCGGCUCGUAAAACUCUGUUGUUAAAGAAGAACACCUUUGAGAGUAACUGUUCAAGGGUUGACGGUAUUUAACCAGAAAGCCACGGCUAACUACGUGCCAGCAGCCGCGGUAAUACGUAGGUGGCAAGCGUUGUCCGGAUUUAUUGGGCGUAAAGCGAGCGCAGGCGGUUUUUUAAGUCUGAUGUGAAAGCCUUCGGCUUAACCGGAGAAGUGCAUCGGAAACUGGGAGACUUGAGUGCAGAAGAGGACAGUGGAACUCCAUGUGUAGCGGUGGAAUGCGUAGAUAUAUGGAAGAACACCAGUGGCGAAGGCGGCUGUCUAGUCUGUAACUGACGCUGAGGCUCGAAAGCAUGGGUAGCGAACAGGAUUAGAUACCCUGGUAGUCCAUGCCGUAAACGAUGAGUGCUAAGUGUUGGAGGGUUUCCGCCCUUCAGUGCUGCAGCUAACGCAUUAAGCACUCCGCCUGGGGAGUACGACCGCAAGGUUGAAACUCAAAGGAAUUGACGGGGGCCCGCACAAGCGGUGGAGCAUGUGGGUUUAAUUCGAAGCUACGCGAAGAACCUUACCAGGUCUUGACAUCUUCUGCCAAUCUUAGAGAUAAGACGUGCCCUUCGGGGACAGAAUGACAGUGGUGCAUGGUUGUCGUCAGCUCGUGGU